rnacentral:rRNA from 1 species
AGCAGCCGCGGUAAUUCCAGCUCCAAUAGCGUAUAUUAAAGUUGUUGCAGUUAAAAAGCUCGUAGUUGAAUUUCGAGACCGGCUUACUGGUCGUGCUAUUGUGCGUACUGGUAUAAUCGGUUUCUCCUUUCUGACGAACUAUAAUGCCAUUAAUUUGGUGUUAUAGGGAAUCAGGACUGUUACUUUGAAAAAUUAGAGUGUUUAAAGCAGGCUCACGCUUGAAUACAUUAGCAUGGAAUAACGGAAUAGGACGUUUGAUUCUAUUUUGUUGGUUUCUAGGAUCGACGUAAUGAUUAAUAGGGAUAGUUGGGGGCAUUAGUAUUCAAUUGUCAGAGGUGAAAUUCUUGGAUUUAUUGAAGACUAACUACUGCGAAAGCAUUUGCCAAGGAUGUUUUCAUUAAUCAAGAACGAAAGUUAGGGGAUCGAAGACGAUCAGAUACCGUCGUAGUCUUAACCAUAAACUAUGCCGACUAGGGAUCGGAUGA